CGAACGCUGGCGGCGUGCUUAACACAUGCAAGUCGACCGGAAAGGCCCUGCUUUUGUGGGGUGCUCGAGUGGCGAACGGGUGAGUAACACGCGAGUAACCUGCCCUUGACUUUGGGAUAACUUCAGGAAACUGGGGCUAAUACCGGAUAGGAGCUCCUGCUGCAUGGUGGGGGUUGGAAAGUUUCGGCGGUUGGGGAUGGACUCGCGGCUUAUCAGCUUGUUGGUGGGGUAGUGGCUUACCAAGGCUUUGACGGGUAGCCGGCCUGAGAGGGUGACCGGCCACAUUGGGACUGAGAUACGGCCCAGACUCCUACGGGAGGCAGCAGUGGGGAAUAUUGCACAAUGGGCGGAAGCCUGAUGCAGCAACGCCGCGUGCGGGAUGACGGCCUUCGGGUUGUAAACCGCUUUCGCCUGUGACGAAGCGUGAGUGACGGUAAUGGGUAAAGAAGCACCGGCUAACUACGUG
rnacentral:rRNA from 1 species